UACGUAGGGGGCAAGCGUUGUCCGGAAUUAUUGGGCGUAAAGAGCGUGUAGGCGGCCAGAUAAGUCCGCUGUGAAAUCUCGAGGCUCAACUUCGAGCUGUCGGUGGAAACUAUCUGGCUAGAGUCCGGAAGAGGAGAAUGGAAUUCCCGGUGUAGUGGUGGAAUGCGUAGAUAUCGGGAGGAACACCAGUGGCGAAGGCGGUUGCCUGGGGCUUUGCUGACGCUGAUGCGCGAAAGCCAGGGGAGCAAACGGG
rnacentral:rRNA from 1 species